rnacentral:rRNA from 1 species
UACGUAGGGGGCAAGCGUUGUCCGGAUUUAUUGGGCGUAAAGCGUGCGCAGGCGGUUCGGCAAGACAGGUGUGAAAUCCCCGGGCUUAACCUGGGAACUGCGCUUGUAACUAGCGGGCUAGAGUACGGCAGAGGGGGGUGGAAUUCCACGUGUAGCAGUGAAAUGCGUAGAGAUGUGGAGGAACACCGAUGGCGAAGGCAGCCCCCUGGGCUAGUACUGACGCUCAUGCACAAAAGCGUGGGGAGCAAACAGG